rnacentral:rRNA from 1 species
CACGUAUUUAGCCGGAGCUUUCUUCUGUGGUACUGUCAUUAUCUUCCCAUAGGACAGAACUUUACGAUACGAAUACCUUCUUCGUUCACGCGGCGUCGCUGCAUCAGGGUUUCCCCCAUUGUGCAAUAUUCCCCACUGCUGCCUCCCGUAGGAGUUUGGACCGUGUCUCAGUUCCAAUGUGGCCGUUCAUCCUCUCAGACCGGCUACUGAUCGUCGCCUUGGUGGGCUGUUAUCUCACCAACUAGCUAAUCAGACGCGAGCCCAUCUAUGACCGAUAAAUCUUUGACCGUUAAAACAUGUGUUUCUACGAUUUUAUGCGGUAUUAAUCCCGGUUUCCCGAGGCUAUCCCACUGUCAUAGGCAGGUUGCUCACGCGUUACUCACCCGUUCGCCACUCUCAUUAGUAAUCUUCCACCGUAGGUUUCUGUUUACUAAAUCCCGUUCGACUUGCAUGUGUUAAGCACGCCGCCAGCGUCGUCCUGACGCCACGACUCGAACUCU